CCGGCGAUGUCUGCUUCUGCUGACUGACGCAUGACCAGCUCCGUUUCAUAUCUGUCAGAGACACACGUUCUUUAAAAACUCUCACAUCGCCUGGACACAAGAUCUUCUAUAGCAUGUAAUCCUGCAAAACAUAAUAUACCUUAGCCUGAAGAUCCUGUAUGGUGACAAAGUAGGCUCUGUAGUCACGUGCAACAGGAGAGGCUUUGCCAUCUAGGAACUGACGGAUCUUCAGCUCCAGAUCAGCGUUGGCCUUCUCUAGUGAGCGCACUUUGACCAGAGUGAGUGGACUUGGAGAUGCGGACCCCUGAACCUCCUGCGCCGGCAUACACGCUGCCGGCCCUCAUGGUGCCCACACGGCUGCUUCCCACGCUAGACGUGGACAUACGCAUGGAGCCGCUGGAGGACAUGCG